rnacentral:rRNA from 1 species
AUUGAACGCUGGCGGCAUGCCUUACACAUGCAAGUCGAACGGUAACGCGGGGCAACCUGGCGACGAGUGGCGAACGGGUGAGUAAUACAUCGGAACGUGCCCAGUAGUGGGGGAUAGCCCGGCGAAAGCCGGAUUAAUACCGCAUACGACCUACGGGAGAAAGCAGGGGAUCGCAAGACCUUGCGCUAUUGGAGCGGCCGAUGGCAGAUUAGGUAGUUGGCGGGGUAAAGGCCUACCAAGCCGACGAUCUGUAGCUGGUCUGAGAGGACGACCAGCCACACUGGGACUGAGACACGGCCCAGACUCCUACGGGAGGCAGCAGUGGGGAAUUUUGGACAAUGGGCGCAAGCCUGAUCCAGCCAUGCCGCGUGCGGGAAGAAGGCCUUCGGGUUGUAAACCGCUUUUGUCAGGGAAGAAACGGUCUGGGUUAAUACCCUGGGCUAAUGACGGUACCUGAAGAAUAAGCACCGGCUAACUACGUGCCAGCCGCCGCCGUAAUAC